rnacentral:rRNA from 1 species
GACGAACGCUGGCGGCGUGCUUAACACAUGCAAGUCGAACGGAAAGGCCCUGCUUUUGUGGGGUGCUCGAGUGGCGAACGGGUGAGUAACACGUGAGUAACCUGCCCUUGACUUUGGGAUAACUUCAGGAAACUGGUGCUAAUACCGGAUAGGAGCUCCUGCUGCCUGGUGGGGGUUGGAAAGUUUCGGCGGGUGGGGAUGGACUCGCGGCUUAUCAGCUUGUUGGUGGGGUAGUGGCCUACCAAGGCAUUGACGGGUCGCCGGCCCGGGCGGGUGACCGGCCACAUUGGGACUGAGAUACGGCCCAGACUCCUACGGGAGGCAGCAGUGGGGAAUAUUGCACAAUGGUCGGAAGCCUGAUGCAGCAACGCCGCGUGCGGGAUGACGGCCUUCGGGUUGUAAACCGCUUUCGCCUGUGACGAAGCGUGAAUGACGGUAAUGGGUAAAGAAGCACCGGCUAACUACGUG